CUACGGGCGGCACCAGUGGGGAAUAUUGCACAAUGGGCGCAAGCCUGAUGCAGCCAUGCCGCGUGUAUGAAGAAGGCCUUCGGGUUGUAAAGUACUUUCAGCGGGGAGGAAGGGAGUAAAGUUAAUACCUUUGCUCAUUGACGUUACCCGCAGAAGAAGCACCGGCUACUCCGUGCCAGCAACCGCGGUAAUACGGAGGGUGCAAGCGUUAAUCGGAAUUACUGGGCGUAAAGCGCACGCAGGCGGUUUGUUAAGUCAGAUGUGAAAUCCCCGGGCUCAACCUGGGAACUGCAUCUGAUACUGGCAAGCUUGAGUCUCGUAGAGGGGGGUAGAAUUCCAGGUGUAGCGGUGAAAUGCGUAGAGAUCUGGAGGAAUACCGGUGGCGAAGGCGGCCCCCUGGACGAAGACUGACGCUCAGGUGCGAAAGCGUGGGGAGCAAACAGGAUUAGAUACCCGCGUAGUC
rnacentral:rRNA from 1 species